UAUAAACCGACGAUAUUGCUAUCGUUUCAUGGCAUUAGUAUACUUACGUUGUAGAGCCCCUUAAGAAUGUCUUGUCUCAACAUGCAUCAUUUAUUAUUUCUAUUGCUUGAAAGUCUCGUAUUAUUUAAAACGGACACUUCCUUACAACGAUCUGUCAUCUGAACAGACACAUCGAGCAGCUUAGUAAGCUGCUUAUAAGAUAGGAGGUUCCCAAGGUUUCGGCAUGAGACAAUUAAGUAUAAUAUUAUUAAGGCUUUCUCCGUCAGGAUAUUUCAGAUAUACACCGUCUGUGGUAGGUAUACCAUCAUAUGUACAUAUCAGAGUAACUUUAGUUCUCACUAGGUUGUCCAAAAUUUUAAUUAUUGAUAUUAACGGAGGGAUAUC